rnacentral:rRNA from 1 species
AGCAGUAGCCGCGGGAAAACAGAGGGUGCAAGCGUUAGUCGGAUUUACUGGGCGUAAAGGGCGCGUAGGUGGUUAUGUAAGUGAGAUGUGAAAUCCCCGGGCUCAACCUGGGAACUGCAUCUUAUACUGCGUAGCUGGAGUGCAGUAGAGGGUAGUGGAAUUUCCGGUGUAGCGGUGAAAUGCGUAGAUAUCGGAAGGAACACCAGUGGCGAAGGCGGCUACCUGGACUGACACUGACACUGAGGCGCGAAAGCGUGGGGAGCAAACAGGAUUAGAUACCCGGGUAGUCCCUGUCUCUUAUAC